rnacentral:rRNA from 1 species
UGGGGAAUAUUGCGCAAUGGGCGAAAGCCUGACGCAGCAACGCCGCGUGGAGGACGAAUGCCUUUUGGUUGUAAACUCCUUUCAGCAGGAACGAAAUUGACGGUACCUGCAGAAGAAGCCCCGGCCAACUACGUGCCAGCAGCCGCGGUAAUACGUAGGGGGCGAGCGUUGUCCGGAUUUAUUGGGCGUAAAGAGCUCGUAGGCGGCUUGAUAAGUCGGCUGUCAAACCCCCAGGCUUAACCUGGGGCAGUCAAUCGAUACUGUCAUGGCUAGAGUCCGGUAGGGGAUCACGGAAUUCCUGGUGUAGCGGUGAAAUGCGCAGAUAUCAGGAGGAACACCAGUGGCGAAGGCGGUGAUCUGGGCCGGUACUGACGCUGAGGAGCGAAAGCGUGGGGAGCAAACAGG